rnacentral:rRNA from 1 species
CGCUGGCGGCGUGCCUAAUACAUGCAAGUCGAGCGAAUGAUUAGAGAAGCUUGCUUCUCUCUGAUUUAGCGGCGGACGGGUGAGUAACACGUGGGUAACCUACCCUAUAGACUGGGAUAACUUCGGGAAACCGGAGCUAAUACCGGAUAAUACUUCGAAACACAUGUUUUGAAGUUGAAAGAUGGUUUCGGCUAUCACUAUAGGAUGGACCCGCGGCGCAUAGCUAGUUGGUGAGGUAACGGCUCACCAAGGCAACGAUGCGUAGCCGACCUGAGAGGGUGAUCGGCCACACUGGGACUGAGACACGGCCCAGACUCCUACGGGAGGCAGCAGUAGGGAAUCUUCCACAAUGGACGAAAGUCUGAUGGAGCAACGCCGCGUGAGUGAAGAAGGAUUUCGGUUCGUAAAAACUCUGUUGCAAGGGAAGAACAAGUAGCGUAGUAACUGGCGCUACCUUGACGGUACCUUGUUAGAAAGCCACGGCUAACUACGUGCCAGCCGCUGC